rnacentral:rRNA from 1 species
AGCGGCGGACGGGUGAGUAACACGUGGGUAACCUGCCUGUAAGACUGGGAUAACUCCGGGAAACCGGGGCUAAUACCGGAUGGUUGUUUGAACCGCAUGGUUCAGACAUAAAAGGUGGCUUCGGCUACCACUUACAGAUGGACCCGCGGCGCAUUAGCUAGUUGGUGAGGUAACGGCUCACCAAGGCGACGAUGCGUAGCCGACCUGAGAGGGUGAUCGGCCACACUGGGACUGAGACACGGCCCAGACUCCUACGGGAGGCAGCAGUAGGGAAUCUUCCGCAAUGGACGAAAGUCUGACGGAGCAACGCCGCGUGAGUGAUGAAGGUUUUCGGAUCGUAAAGCUCUGUUGUUAGGGAAGAACAAGUGCCGUUCAAAUAGGGCGGCACCUUGACGGUACCUAACCAGAAAGCCACGGCUAACUACGUGCCAGCAGCCGCGGUAAUACGUAGGUGGCAAGCGUUGUCCGGAAUUAUUGGGCGUAAAGGGCUCGCAGGCGGUUUCUUAAGUCUGAUGUGAAAGCCCCCGGCUCAACCGGGGAGGGUCAUUGGAAACUGGGGAACUUGAGUGCAGAAGAGGAGAGUGGAAUUCCACGUGUAG